CCUACGGGAGGCAGCAGUAGGGAAUUUUCGGCAAUGGGGGGAACCCUGACCGAGCAACGCCGCGUGAACGAAGAAGUUAUUCGUAAUGUAAAGUUCUUUUAACAGGGAAGAAAGAGAAAUUUGACGGUACCUGAAGAAUAUGCUCCGGCUAACUACGUGCCAGCAGCCGCGGUAAUACGUAGGGAGCGAGCGUUAUCCGGAAUUAUUGGGCGUAAGGGGUGCGUAGAUGGCAUAGUAAGUCUUUGGUAAAAAUGCUGGGCUAAACCCAGUAGGGCAAAAGAUACUGCAAAGCUAGAGUGUGACGGAGGCAGGUGGAACUACAUGUGUAGCGGUGAAAUGCGUAGAUAUAUGUAAGAACACCAGUGGCGAAGGCGGCUUGCUGGGUCGAUACUGACGUUGAGGCACGAAGGCGUGGGGAGCAAACAGGAUUAGAUACCCCUGUAGUC
rnacentral:rRNA from 1 species